rnacentral:rRNA from 1 species
UUCCAGACUCCUACGGGAGGCAGCAGUGGGGAAUAUUGCACAAUGGGGGAAACCCUGAUGCAGCGACGCCGCGUGAGUGAAGAAGUAUUUCGGUAUGUAAAGCUCUAUCAGCAGGGAAGAAAAUGACGGUACCUGACUAAGAAGCCCCGGCUAACUACGUGCCAGCGGCCGCGGUAAUACGUAGGGGGCAAGCGUUAUCCGGAUUUACUGGGUGUAAAGGGAGCGUAGACGGUGAUGCAAGUCAGAAGUGAAAGCCCGGGGCUCAACUCCGGGACUGCUUUUGAAACUGUGUGACUGGAGUGCAGGAGAGGUAAGCGGAAUUCCUGGUGUAGCGGUGAAAUGCGUAGAUAUCAGGAGGAACACCGGCGGCGAAGGCGGCCUGCUGGACCGCGACUGACGUUGAGGCUCGAAAGCGUGGGGAGCGAACAGGAUUAGAUACCCUCGUA